rnacentral:rRNA from 1 species
CAGCAGCCGCGGUAAUACGGAGGAUCCAAGCGUUAUCCGGAAUCAUUGGGUUUAAAGGGUCCGUAGGCGGCCUUAUAAGUCAGUGGUGAAAUCUCCUAGCUCAACUAGGAAACUGCCAUUGAUACUGUAGGGCUUGAAUUAUUGUGAAGUAACUAGAAUAUGUAGUGUAGCGGUGAAAUGCUUAGAUAUUACAUGGAAUACCAAUUGCGAAGGCAGGUUACUAACAAUAUAUUGACGCUGAUGGACGAAAGCGUGGGGAGCGAACAGGAUUAGAUACCCUGGUAGUCCACGCCGUAAACGAUGGAUACUAGCUGUUCGGACGCAAGUUUGAGUGGCUAAGCGAAAGUGAUAAGUAUCCCACCUGGGGAGUACGCACGCAAGUGUGAAACUCAAAGG